CUACGGGAGGCAGCAGUGGGGAAUAUUGCACAAUGGGCGCAAGCCUGAUGCAGCGACGCCGCGUGAGCGAUGAAGCCCCUCGGGGUGUAAAGCUCUUUCGACAGGAACGAUUAUGACGGUGCCUGGAGAAGAAGCUGCGGCUAACUACGUGCCAGCAGCCGCGGUAAUACGUAGGCAGCAAACGUUGUUCGGAAUUAUUGGGCGUAAAGAGUGUGUAGGCGGUUGCGUGUGUCUGGUGUGAAAUCUCCUGGCUCAACUGGGAGGGUGCGCCGGAAACUGCGCGGCUUGAGUACUGGAGAGGAUGGCGGAAUUCCUGGUGUAGCGGUGAAAUGCGUAGAUAUCAGGAGGAACACCUGUGGUGUAGACGGCUAUCUGGACAGUCACUGACGCUGAGACACGAAAGCGUGGGGAGCAAACAGGAUUAGAUACCCCUGUAGUCC
rnacentral:rRNA from 1 species